rnacentral:rRNA from 1 species
UACGUAGGGAGCAAGCGUUGUUCGGAUUUACUGGGCGUAAAGGGCGCGUAGGCGGCGCGGUAAGUCACUUGUGAAAUCUCUGAGCUUAACUCAGAACGGCCAAGUGAUACUGCAGUGCUAGAGUGCAGAAGGGGCAAUCGGAAUUCUUGGUGUAGCGGUGAAAUGCGUAGAUAUCAGGAGGAACACCGAUGGCGAAGGCAGUUCUCUGGGCCGUAACUGACGCUGAGGAGCGAAAGCGUGGGGAGCGAACAGG